UUCCACUGCAUCCGUCCCCUUGUCCAUAAGAUCAAUCUUUGUCAAGACACCAAAUGUUCUGUCCCCUGUGAAG
rnacentral:sRNA from 1 species